CCUUGCCAGCCCGCUCAGAAACUCAAAGGAAUUGACGGGGCCCGCACAAGCGGUGGAGCAUGUGGUUUAAUUCGACGCAACGCGAAGAACCUUACCUGGGUUUGACAUCCCGAUCGUAUUUCCUGGAGACAGGAGAGUCAGUUCGGCUGGAUCGGUGACAGGUGCUGCAUGGCUGUCGUCAGCUCGUGUCGUGAGAUGUUGGGUUAAGUCCCGCAACGAGCGCAACCCUUGUCCUUAGUUGCCAUCAUUAAGUUGGGCACUCUAGGGAGACUGCCGGUGUUAAACCGGAGGAAGGUGGGGACGACGCCAAGUCAUCAUGGCCCUUAUGUCCAGGGCUACACACGUGCUACAAUGGCCGGUACAAAGGGUUGCGAAGCUGUGAAGUGAAGCUAAUCCCAAAAAGCCGGUCUCAGUUCGGAUUGGAGUCUGCAACUCGACUCCAUGAAGUUGGAAUCGCUAGUAAUCGCGUAUCAGCAUGACGCGGUGAAUACGUUCCCGGGCCUU
rnacentral:rRNA from 1 species